rnacentral:rRNA from 1 species
GAUGAACGCUGGCGGCGUGCCUAAUACAUGCAAGUCGAGCGAACAGACGAGGAGCUUGCUCCUCUGACGUUAGCGGCGGACGGGUGAGUAACACGUGGAUAACCUACCUAUAAGACUUGGAUAACUUCGGGAAACCGGAGCUAAUACCGGAUAAUAUAUUGAACCGCAUGGUUCAAUAGUGAAAGACGGUUUUGCUGUCACUUAUAGAUGUAUCCGCGCCGCAUUAGCUAGUUGGUAAGGUAACGGCUUACCAAGGCAACGAUGCGUAGCCGACCUGAGAGGGUGAUCGGCCACACUGGAACGGAGACACGGUCCAGACGCCUACGGGAGGCAGCAGUAGGGAAUCUUCCGCAAUGGGCGAAAGCCUGACGGAGCAACGCCGCGUGAGUGAUGAAGGUCUUCGGAUCGUAAAACUCUGUUAUUAGGGAAGAACAAAUGUGUAAGUAACUAUGCACGUCUUGACGGUACCUAAUCAGAAAGCCACGGCUAACUACGUG